rnacentral:rRNA from 1 species
AGUCUUAACCGGGCGUUAAGUUGCAGGGUAUAGACCCGAAACCCGGUGAUCUAGCCAUGGGCAGGUUGAAGGUUGGGUAACACUAACUGGAGGACCGAACCGACUAAUGUUGAAAAAUUAGCGGAUGACCUGUGGCUGGGGGUGAAAGGCCAAUCAAACCGGGAGAUAGCUGGUUCUCCCCGAAAGCUAUUUAGGUAGCGCCUCGUGAAUUCAUCUCCGGGGGUAGAGCACUGUUUCGGCUAGGGGGCCAUCCCGGCUUACCAACCCGAUGCAAACUGCGAAUACCGGAGAAUGUUAUCACGGGAGACACACGGCGGGUGCUAACGUCCGUCGUGAAGAGGGAAACAACCCAGACCGCCAGCUAAGGUCCCAAAGUCAUGGUUAAGUGGGAAACGAUGUGGGAAGGCCCAGACAGCCAGGAUGUUGGCUUAGAAGCAGCCAUCAUUUAAAGAAAGCGUAAUAGCUCACUGGUCGAGUCGGCCUGCGCGGAAGAUGUAACGGGGCUAAACCAUGCACCGAAGCUGCGGCAGCGACGCUUAUGCGUUGUUGGGUAGGGGAGCGUUCUGUAAGCCUGUGAAGGUGUGUCGUGAGGCAUGCUGGAGGUAUCAGAAGUGCGAAUGCUGACAUAAGUAACGAUAAAGCGGGUGAAAAGCCCGCUCGCCGGAAGACCAAGGGUUCCUGUCCAACGUUAAUCGGGGCAGGGUGAGUCGACCCCUAAGGCGAGGCCGA